rnacentral:rRNA from 1 species
CCUACGGGAGGCUGCAGUGGGGAAUAUUGCACAAUGGGGGCAACCCUGAUCCAGCCAUGCCGCGUGUGUGAAGAAGGCCCUCGGGUUGUAAAGCACUUUCAGUGAGGAAGAACGCCUGGUGGUUAAUACCCAUCAGGAAAGACAUCACUCACAGAAGAAGCACCGGCUAACUCCGUGCCAGCGGCCGCGGUAAUACGGAGGGUGCGAGCGUUAAUCGGAAUUACUGGGCGUAAAGCGCGCGUAGGUGGCUUGAUAAGCCGGUUGUGAAAGCCCCGGGCUCAACCUGGGAACGGCAUCCGGAACUGUCAAGCUAGAGUGCAGGAGAGGAAGGUAGAAUUCCCGGUGUAGCGGUGAAAUGCGUAGAGAUCGGGAGGAAUACCAGUGGCGAAGGCGGCCUUCUGGACUGACACUGACACUGAGGUGCGAAAGCGUGGGUAGCAAACAGGAUUAGAUACCCCAGUAGUC